GUCCACGUUACCAUGGGAACUGUUUUGUUCAAUGACAUGCUCCCUUCCUAGGCGUGGAAAAGAAACCUGCUUUUAUUCACAUAGAUGCUCAUGCUCCUUUCAUGAGUGGCAUAUAUGGAAGAAGAAACAUUA
rnacentral:snoRNA from 1 species